CUGUUCGGUUUUCGGACUGAGUGGCUAAGCGAAAGUGAUAAGUAUCCCACCUGGGGAGUACGUUCGCAAGAAUGAAACUCAAAGGAAUUGACGGGGGCCCGCACAAGCGGUGGAGCAUGUGGUUUAAUUCGAUGAUACGCGAGGAACCUUACCAGGGCUUAAAUGUAGAUUGACAGAUUUGGAAACAGAUUUUUCUUCGGACAAUUUACAAGGUGCUGCAUGGUUGUCGUCAGCUCGUGCCGUGAGGUGUCAGGUUAAGUCCUAUAACGAGCGCAACCCCUAUUGUUAGUUACCAGCGCGUAGUGGCGGGGACUCUAGCAAGACUGCCGGUGCAAACCGUGAGGAAGGUGGGGAUGACGUCAAAUCAUCACGGCCCUUACGUCCUGGGCUACACACGUGCUACAAUGGCAAGUACAGAAAGCAGCUACCUGGCAACAGGAUGCGAAUCUCCAAAGCUUGUCUCAGUUCGGAUUGGAGUCUGCAACUCGACUCUAUGAAGCUGGAAUCGCUAGUAAUCGGAUAUCAGCCAUGAUCCGGUGAAUACGUUCCCGGGCCUUGUACACACCGCCCGUCAAGCCAUGGAAGCUGGGGGUACCUGAAGUCGGUGACCGCAAGGAGCUGCCUAGGGUAAAACUAGUAACUAGGGCUAAGUCGUAACAAGGUAACCG
rnacentral:rRNA from 1 species